UACGUAGGGGGCAAGCGUUGUCCGGAAUCAUUGGGCGUAAAGCGCGUGUAGGCGGUUCGAUAAGUCUGCUGUGAAAGUCCAGGGCUCAACCCUGGGAUGCCGGUGGAUACUGUCGAGCUAGAGUACGGAAGAGGCGAGUGGAAUUCCCGGUGUAGCGGUGAAAUGCGCAGAUAUCGGGAGGAACACCAAUUGCGAAGGCAGCACUCUGGGACGGUACUGACGCUGAGACGCGAAAGCGUGGGGAAGCGAACGA
rnacentral:rRNA from 1 species